UCAUGUUAUCUCAUUUUAGCGAGACGGCUACGAUGUUCUCGUGUUUAGAUUCACAAACUGGUCACAGCAGUUUGAUUUGUGCCCGGCGAAUGAAUUGCUAAGUCUGCUAAACGAAGUUCAACAACGCGCUGCCACAGACGGACCAGUCGUGAUUCAGUGCCAUGACGGGUACAGUCGCAGUGGUCUAGUGGCAGUGCUUUGGUGUCUAAUGGAGCGCAGUAAACAUGACGGGGAAGUGGCCGUUGCAGAAACAGUACGAUUAAUCAGGCGAAGGAGGCAGCAAGUCAUACGUAACGAGGAACAAUACCGUUUCUGCCAUGAAUUCAUGAAGAGCUUUGUCGAGGGGUGUGCAGUUUAUACAAAAACAUGAUGUGUUUAUGACAAAAACAAACCUUCCUGACGUUUAGGAAACGGAGGGGAAACUGAAAUAAGAUAAGGAACAAAUCGUGUUAUUGACAUAAAAAACCCUCAGAUGAAGCAAUCCACAUAUCUUGCUUUUCUAAUUAUAUGUGUUUUAUACAUGUGCCUAAAUUAUCGGACCGUCAUGUAAACUGAUAUUGAAAUGUAGAAUAAAGUAUACUAUUAUUUACAUGUUAAUAGCUAGAAUCUAUUUAUAAUAAACGGACGUGAAUAAGAGACCGUUAAUGCAAUAUUUUACAAUCAUUUUGUCUGUCAUCAAUCACCUUUAAACGAAAGCAUUAAUAUGUAACGAUCGUUGGGGUUUCAUUUGUUUGUGAAAACUUGCAAUUGACAUAAGUGUAUUUAAAUGCUUCAUAAAAAACGUUGAUGACACGUUUACAUCACAUUGAUGUUUGAAUUGUAUCAAUGGAGAUGAUAACGCACACACCGAACUGAUACUCGAAGAUAUUCACAAAUCUAUGUGAGUGGUCCACACAAUGUUGAGUUGUUUUUAAUUUUAAAGCCAUGUGGUCACUCGAAUAAAAGAAAAUCAUGGUUUUACACAGAUUUCCCUUUUGAUAUUGUUUCCGGUGUUUUAUUAUUCCUUAAUAUUAUAUUCAGCGUUUCUACAACAUGUUUUGCAACUUCACAUACGCAUAUCGUUAUAUACAUUGUUAAACAAUUAAUUUUCUUAUAUCC